AUUUGACACCCAUGUCUUUGCAGAUGUAAUUUGCAGAGAGUCUGCCUUCUUCACAAAGUCAAACCAGAUGUUUGAUGCUCAGGACGUCAAGGCAGUAUUUCAACUAAAGAAGAGCCCAGAGCCGCGUUGUAUCACAGAAGACAGCGCAGUUAUUGUUCAGAGGAGCUCUGUGAGCUGUUCUGUUAUAUAUUUUAGAUAUUCCUGGAGCACCGAAGAGCUCCAACAUCAUGGAGUCUAUAACUCCCAGUGGCUGAAGCAGACCCCUAAGGAGACCAGUGGCAUUGAUAUCACUGGUCAUUUGUAGUGUGGACAUAGGGCUGGGAGUAGGGGAUGCCUCAAUCACAUUACUUUGCAUUUAAUACUAUCUAGGAGGGUUCAAAAUUAGCACCAGCCAAAUGCUGGUAAAUUUACUUCACUCACCAGCCAAAAAACUAUGGUAAUCUAUUGAGUGGCUGGUUCACUUUGAGCAUUCACUGGCCAUUGGCUGGUGGACAAAAAAGUAAUAUUUGCACCCUGCUAUCCAGCCACAUGUUUUGGCUACGAAAUUGCUUUAUCGUUUUAAUGUUGAUGUAAAUAUUCGUGGGCUAGAUUGUAGAUUUUUUUGUUCAUAGGUCUUUCUGUCAGAGUGGCGCCCCUCUUCCACUGGCUGUCCUCAGGGCUGUUUCCUGUCUCCUUUUGCUGUUCAUUCUUUACACCAAUGACUGUAGAAGCCAGCAUGGGGAUAGGCACAUCCUGAAAUUCGCUGAUGAUACAGUUCUCGUCAGCCCGCCCCAUAAAGUCAUAGGUGUCCCACAGACGACUCCCCUGACAGCCAUCUUUGACCAGCAGGUUCUCCAUAAGGUCCCCUUGACGCCUGAAUUUAUUUACAAUCAAAUAAUAAAAAAAUUUGCUUUCAAGCUGAUGUUAAA